rnacentral:rRNA from 1 species
AUGAAGAUGUUCCAACAUCUUAUGUAUGUUAACGGUGCAAGGGGUACAACACAGAUAGACAACUUCCUAGCAACCUUCCAGGGUUGUGAGCUCUUGGGUAAAAGUUUGGCAAAGCAAAUGGUGAAGUUCUCCUACAAUGACUUGCCUGCCAAGUACAGGAGCUGCUUGCUCUACCUAACUAUCUUCCCGCAAGGUGACCACAUUAGGAGAUCAACCGUGUGUAGAAGAUGGAUAGCUGAAGGCCUGAUAACAUCCAGGGAGAAUCAUGCAGAAGAUGAAGCUGAUUCAUGUUUCAAUGCCCUCCUCUCGAGGAGUCUCAUUCAACCUGGGGAGAUCGGUGACAUGGGAAAGACCAAGACCUGCACAUUACAUCAUGUUGUUCAUCAAGUCAUCACCAGGAUUGCUAGAGAUAUAAACUUUGCGGACACGGACCUACCACCCGAUUUGGCUCGCCACCUUUCCAUUCACAGCAGAACUGAGGUGCAAGCAUCUCACACAGAUCAUGCGUUGCAAGCAGCUGAUGGUGUUGGCGUUGUAGCACUUCUUCCAUAUUUGGCAAAGUCAUCUCAGUGGAAGCUAAUGAAGAUGUUGGAUCUAGAAGGUUGCAGAGGCUUAAAGAAGCAACAUUUGAAGAUCAUCUGUAAAAUAAUAUUGCUAAAGUACUUAAGCCUCAGGAACACAGAUAUCACUGAACUACCGAAGAAAAUCGAGAAGCUGCAAUGCCUGGAGACCUUGGACAUUCGACAAACAACGGUACGGGCCUUCGCCACAAAAUCAGUCAUGCUUCCAAUGCUGAAGCAUCUACUCGCUGGUCAGGCUGAGUCUCCAAGCAACAUCACUGAUAGGUCUCAGGAUUCGUUUACGGCCGUGCGCCUUCCCAGCAGCAUCAAAAGAAUGAAUCAGUUGGAGACACUGUCACAUGUUGAAGUUUCCCACAGUGUUAAUGAUUUAACUGGUGUUGGUCAUCUAUUACAGCUGAGGAAACUGGGUGUGAUUCUCCAGGGUAAGAAAGGUGGCCUGAGUUAUCUAUUUCAACAGAUUGAAAAAUUACAUGGUUGCCUUCGCUCCUUGUCUAUUCAGAUCAACGAACCGGUUUCUCAAACUGAGGAUACUCUUAGUUCAGAGGAGGUGAUCACAUUAGCCUCCCCUCCACACCUUCUUCAAAGCCUAAACAUUAGCGGCAUCACAAGUGGGUUUCUACUCUGGAUUGCAGAGCUCGAUCAACUUACCAAGAUAACACUGAGCAAGACUUACCUAGGGGAAGAUGAUAUAUGCAUCCUCGGCAAGCUUGCAGCUCUGCGCUGCCUCAGGCUUCGCCGCAGUUCAUACGCCGGAAGCAGGCUCACAUUCAAGCAAGAAGAGUUCAAGAUCCUCAAGUCUUUGGUCGUUGAUGAUGGUACCAUCACCGACAUUAUCUUUGACACUGGAGCCGCUCCCAAGCUGGAGAGGAUUGUGUGGUCCUUUGCCAAAAUGGAGUCUAUUCGUGGACUCCUCCGCCUUCCCAAAUUGAAGAAUGUCGAGCUCAAUGGUGACUGCGACCCAGAUCCAGUGAGACUAGCACUUGAAAAGCACCCCAACCUUCCUGAUUUCAAGCACAAGCCACACCAGGGGCAACAAGAAGAUAGAGCUGUGGUUGCUGCCUCACCUCAAUGA